UACGUAGGGACCAAGCGUUGUUCGGAAUCACUGGGCGUAAAGGGCGCGUAGGCGGCUUUAUAAGUCGGGGGUGAAAGCCUGUGGCUCAACCACAGAAUUGCCUUCGAUACUGUAGAGCUUGAGACCGGAAGAGGUAAGUGGAACUGCGAGUGUAGAGGUGAAAUUCGUAGAUAUUCGCAAGAACACCAGUGGCGAAGGCGGCUUACUGGUCCGGUUCUGACGCUGAGGCGCGAAAGCGUGGGGAGCAAACGGG
rnacentral:rRNA from 1 species